UGAGUGACCCCUGAGUGACCCCUGAGUGACCCCAAACCCCCCAAGUGACCCCUGAGUGACCCCAAGACCCCAAAAUGGUCCCCAAUUAACCUUAAGUGACCCCGAGUGACCCCUGAAUGACCCCAAGUGACCAUAACCCCUCCCAAUGACCCCAAAAUGACCCCGAGUGACCCCAGAGUGACCCCAAAUGACCCCAAGUGACCCCGGCCCGGCCCCUCCCCCACAGACUCCAUUGGUCUCCAUGGCAACGGCUCCGAGCGAUUUUAUUGGCUGGGAAAGGGGGAAAGAGGGUGGGGCCAGAGACAGAGGUCAAAGGUCAAGGAUGGAAGGGGAGGGGUCAAAUGGGGGAGGGGCGAAGUGGACAUUGACCACUGAGUGACCACUGAGUGACCAAUGAGUGACCACAAAGUGACCAAUGAGUGACCAGAGGUGGCCAAAAUGACCAAAGGUCACUUCAGAGUGACCAGUGGUGGCCUUGCAGUGACCAUGAGUGACCAGAACUGGUCAAGAGUGACCACGAGUGACCAGUGGUCACUUUGGGCUGGUCAGGAGUGACCAGUGGUCACUUUGAGGUGGUCAAGGUGGCUGGAAGUGACCAGUGGUCACUUUGGGGUGACCAUGAAUGACCAUUGGUCAUUUAGAGUAACCAUGAAUGACCAGUGGUCACUCUGAGAUGGUCAGUGGUCACUUUGGGGUGGCCUGGAGUGGUCAGUGGUCACUUUGAGGUGCCACGAGUGACCAAUGGUCAGUUUUGGAGUGACCAUGAGUAGUCAAGAGUGACCGAUGGUCACUUUGGAGUGACCAGGAGUGACCAGUGGUGGCCUUAGAGUGACCAGGAUUGACCAAUGGCCACUCUGAGGUGGUCAACGUGGCUAGAAGUGACCAUUGGUCACUUUGGGGUGACCUUAGAGUGACCAUUGGUCAUUUAGAGUGACCAGAAGUGACCAGUGGUCACUCUGAGAUGGUCAGUGGUCACUUUGAAGUGACCAUAAGUGGUCAGUGGUCACUUUGGGGUGACCAUAAGUGGUCAGUGGUCACUUUGGGGUGGUCAGAGAUGGCCUGGGAUGGUCAGUGGUCACUUUGGAGUAGCCAGGAGUGACCAGUGGUCACUCUGAGGUGGUCAGUGAUGGUCAGUGGUCACUCUGGGUGGUCAGUGGUCACUUUGGGGUGGUCACUGAUGGUCAGUGGUGGGCAGUGGUCACUCUGGGGUGCUCAAGAUGACCACAAGUGACCAAUGGUCACUCUAGAGUGGUCAGUGGUCACUUUGGGGUGGACAAAGGGGGUCAAGGGUGGCCUUGAGGUGGCCACAGAGUGACCAAGAGUGACCACAGACGGUCAGUGAUGGACACAAAGUGACCACAGGUGGUCAUUGGUCACUU
rnacentral:lncRNA from 1 species